UACGUAGGGGGCAAGCGUUGUCCGGAAUCACUGGGCGUAAAGCGCGCGCAGGCGGUUUCUCACGUCCGGGGUGAAAGCCCAGAGCUCAACUCUGGGACUGCCUUGGAUACGGGGGAACUUGAGGAUCGGAGAGGCAAGGGGAAUUCCACGUGUAGCGGUGAAAUGCGCAGAUAUCAGGAGGAACACCGGUGGCGAAGGCGGGUCUCUGGGCCGAUAUUGACGCUGAGGAGCGAAAGCGUGGGGAGCGAACAGG
rnacentral:rRNA from 1 species